ACAUAGAAACCGAUAACAAGUAAAAUUGAAAACGAAGAAACAUGAAAUUGAUAGACAAAGUGAAUGAUUAGACAAACAAACAAAGAUAGGAAACAAUGAUAAGUAAAACAAGUUAGUAGAUCAUUCAAGAAACACAAAGAAGGAUAUAAAAACAAUGAUAAAUGAGAGAGAGAGUGAUUAUUGAAUACACACACACAAACACACAAAAAACAAACACACAGAAAAACAACAAUAACAACUAAAAUAAGAAACAACUAAAUGAAGAAACACAAGGAAAAAUAGAAAAAAACAAUGAUAAAUAAGAGAGUGAAAAAAUUGAACAAAACACAAACAAUUUAGAAGUUAACGAGAAUUAGUGAAUACUUUGAAACCAGACAUACAGACAGACAGACAAAAAAGACAGCAAAAAUAAUAUAGAUAGAUGUUAGUGAAGAAGAACUAGAAAACAAAGAAAUAAGCAAUUAAAAAACAAAAACAAAUAGUCAAAAUAGGGAGGUGUACAUUUCAAAACACACACACACACACACACACACACACACACACACACACACACACACACACACACACACACACACACACACACACACACACACACACAAGCCAUAAGCCAGAUAGAAGAUAGAACUAAGCCACUUUAACCCAGAUUACCAAGCCAGAUAAGCCAUAGAUUAGACAGUUAGCCAAAAGUAAGCCAUGAAAGGACAGAUUUUAAGCCACUAACAGCCACUAGACAGCAAAAAACAGCAUAAUAUGAACAGCAUGGAUUUAAAACGCACAAAUAUAAGACAGCAUUAGAGACAUAAGCCAGAGAUAAGCCAUGGAAGGACAAUGAAAGCCACUAGACAGCAAAACAGCAUAAUACAAACAGCAUGGAUUUAAACCGCACAAAUUCAAGACAGCGUUAGUCUUAAGCCACAGAUGAAAGGGAGAGACACAGUUUUAAGCCACUAAGCCACUAGACAGCAUUAAAUGGGCCACAUAAAUUUAGACAGCAUAGAUAGAUGAAGGAGAAAGCUUUGUAUUGGACACACACACACACACACACACACACACACACACACACACACACACACACACACACACACACACACACACACACACACUUACACUUUAGUUAACUAGCAUUGCCAUAAUAGAAUGAAGAAGAAGAAGAAGAAGAGGAGGAAGAAUUGAAUAAAGAGCAUAAACAGAGAGAAAGACAGAGAAAAUCAUUAACUAGGAGACAGCAAACAUACACACACACACACACACACACACACACACACACAAUUUAGUUAAUUAGCAUUGCCAAAAUAGAAUAAAGAAGAAGAAGAAGAAUUGGAUAAAAGAAAGCAUAAAAGAUAUAGAAUAAAGAAUAGAUAGCUAAAUAGAAGAGGAACAGCUCAAGCACCCCAGCAUUGUUUUUAGAGAGCACCCGUCAGCCAGCCAAUUAGAUCGUUAGGUCGUUAGAAAGGUGAAUCCAGUAAUGAGGUCAGCUAAGGUCAAGUUCCGUUCAUAGUGUCAAACCAAGGUCAUUUAUUGUAAGUAACAGGUCAGCUAAGGUCAAGUUCUGUUCAUAGUUUCAAACCAAGGUCAUUUAUUGUAAGUAACAGGUCAGCUAAGGUCAAGUUCUGUUCAUAGUUUCAAACCAAGGUCAUUUAUUGUAAGUAACAGGUCAGCUAAGGUCAAGUUCUGUUCAUAGUUUCAAACCAAGGUCAUUUAUUGUAAGUAACAGGUCAGCUAAGGUCAAGUUCUGUUCAUAGUUUCAAACCAAGGUCAUUUAUUGUAAGUAACAGGUCAGCUAAGGUCAAGUUCUGUUCAUAGUUUCAAACCAAGGUCAUUUAUUGUAAGUAACAGGUCAGCUAAGGUCAAGUUCUGUUCAUAGUUUCAAACCAAGGUCAUUUAUUGUAAGUAACAGGUCAGCUAAGGUCAAGUUCUGUUCAUAGUUUCAAACCAAGGUCAUUUAUUGUAAGUAACAGGUCAGCUAAGGUCAAGUUCUGUUCAUAGUUUCAAACCAAGGUCAUUUAUUGUAAGUAACAGGUCAGCUAAGGUCAAGUUCUGUUCAUAGUUUCAAACCAAGGUCAUUUAUUGUAAGUAACAGGUCAGCAAAGGUCAAGUUCCGUUCAUAGUUUGAAAUCGAGGUCAUUUAUUGUAACCGUUUGUAAAUUUAUUUAUUUUAAGGGCAGUGUUUUUAUUUUUGUUUGUUUGGGUUAGGUGAAGUUUUGUCUAACCUAACCUAAUCUACAAUUGUGUGACUAUGGUGUUAUAUCUUGAUGUGAAAGAUCCCACACAUUCUCUCUCUCUCUCUCUCUCUCUCUCUCUCUCUCUCUCUCUCUCUCUCUCUCUCUCUCUCUCUCUCUCUCUCUCUCUCUCUCUCUCUCUCUCUCUCUCUGUCUCUGUCUCUCUCUCUCUCUCUCUCUCUCUCUCUUUCUCUCUUUCUCUCUCUCUCUCUCUCUCUCUCUCUCUCUCUCUGUUCUUUAGAUAGUUAGACAAGCGCAGAGUAAAGUCUAUAUAUAUAUAUAUAUAUAUGAAAGGAGAAGAAAAUUAUGAUUAUAUAAAUACAUUAAUUGCAUACUGGACUAAGUGUAAUAUAAAUAUGUAGUGUGUCUUAUUAUUAUUAUUAUUAUUUUUAUUUUUAUUAUUAUUAUCUUUAAGUUACACAGUUCUCUUUUUCUUUUUCUCCUUGUCUGUCUGUCUGUUUGUCCUCAUUAUUAUUAUUAUUAUUAUUAUUAUUAUUAUUAUUAUUAUUAUUAUUAUUAUUAUUAUUAUUAUUAUUGUUAUUCUAAUGUUACACUACAAGAAUAUAUAAAUUUCUUUCUCUUUUUCUCAUUCAUAACCUUCUUGUCUGUCUGUCUGUCUAUCUGUCUGUCUGUCUGUCUAUCAUAUUCUUUUUACUCUUCAAAUAUCACAAUUGUACAUAAAUUUUUCAACUUUUAUUAGUAUUUCCUUUAUUCAUUGUCUCUCUCUCUCUCUCUCUCUCUCUCUCUCUCUCUCUCUCUCUCUCUCUCUCUCUCUCUCUCUCUCUCUCUCUCUCUCUCUCUCUCUCUCUCUCUCUCUCUCUCUCUCUCUCAUGCCACCAUUAUUUCAUCAUCAUUAAUCUGUCAUAAUACAAGAAUCAAUCCACGUUUGAUUAUUACUACUAUUAUUAUUAUUAUUAUUAUUAUUAUUAUUAUUAUUAUUAUUAUUAUUAUUAUUAUUAUUGCUACUAUUAUUCGCCUGUAUUCGUCAGUGUCAGUCAGCGAUGUACAGAAGACCAGUUAGUGUGCAUUUUUCCCACAAGAAUCUGUAUAUUAGGACAUUUCUACCAUUAUUACCAUCAUUAUUUCAAUAUUGUCUCGUUUUUUCCCUUAUUUCGCCUUUUCAUUUCCUCCCACAAUGCACCAGAUCGUGUGAAAUGAAGAAUAUUCUUUACAAUACAAUAUUGCACAAACA